GAUGAACGCUGGCGGCGUGCCUAAUACAUGCAAGUCGAGCGAACAGACGAGGAGCUUGCUCCUCUGACGUUAGCGGCGGACGGGUGAGUAACACGUGGAUAACCUACCUAUAAGACUGGGAUAACUUCGGGAAACCGGAGCUAAUACCGGAUAAUAUAUUGAACCGCAUGGUUCAAUAGUGAAAGACGGUUUUGCUGUCACUUAUAGAUGGAUCCGCGCUGCAUUAGCUAGUUGGUAAGGUAACGGCUUACCAAGGCAACGAUGCGUAGCCGACCUGAGAGGGUGAUCGGCCACACUGGAACUGAGACACGGUCCAGACUCCUACGGGAGGCAGCAGUAGGGAAUCUUCCGCAAUGGGCGAAAGCCUGACGGAGCAACGCCGCGUGAGUGAUGAAGGUCUUCGGAACGUAAAACUCUGUUAUUAGGGAAGAACAAAUGUGUAAGUAACUAUGCACGUCUUGACGGUACCUAAUCAGAAAGCCACGGCUAACUACGUG
rnacentral:rRNA from 1 species